rnacentral:rRNA from 1 species
GUGUCAGCAGCCGCGGUAAGACGUAGGAUGCAAGCGUUGUCCGGAAUUAUUGGGCGUAAAGAGUUCGUAGGCGGUUGUCUAAGUCUGAUGUUAAAGCCCGGCGCUCAACGCCGGCAUGGCAUUGGAAACUGGGCGACUAGAGUGUGGUAGAGGUCACGGGAAUUCCUGGUGUAGCGGUGAAAUGCGUAGAUAUCAGGAGGAACACCGGUGGCGAAAGCGCGUGACUGGGCCAUAACUGACGCUGAGGAACGAAAGCCAGGGUAGCAAAAGGGAUUAGAUACCCCUGUAGUCC